rnacentral:tRNA from 1 species
GCCCGGGUGGCGGAAUUGGCAGACGCGCCAGCUUGAGGGGCUGGUGGGAGCAAUCUCGUGCUGGUUCAAAUCCAGUCCCGGGCA